rnacentral:misc_RNA from 1 species
AAAGAACAAAAAAGCUUCAGAUAGAUCCGCCAACAUAAAAUCUAUGUACAUACAUGAAAGAAACGAGCUAGACCUAGAUUUGAAAAACGCAUUCACGUUACAAUCGUCUGGCAGUGACAGAAGUCCCUUCGAGUCUGCUUGAAUUAGCUGCACUUCGUGACCAAGAUGAUGGCUUGAAGCUACCUGCCAGUAUGUUUGAAGCCGCAGAUGCACAGAUCUUUCUUCUCUUGGAUUCUAGGUCCAAUCGUUUCUUA